rnacentral:tRNA from 1 species
GUCAAUGUAGCUUAUAACAUAAAGCACGGCACUGAAAAUGCCGAGACGAGAAAUAAAAUCUCCACGGACA